UACGGAAGGGGCAAGCGUUGUUCGGAAUCAUUGGGCGUAAAGGGCGCGCAGGUGGCUCUGUAGGUCUACCGUGAAAGCGUACGGCUCAACCGUAUUUUGUCGGUAGAAACUGCAGGACUUGAGGCUGGGAGGGGCUGGUGGAAUUCCCUGUGUAGCGGUGAAAUGCGUAGAGAUGGGGGAGAACACUCGUGGCGAAGGCGGCCAGCUAGACCAGUUCUGACACUGAGGCGCGACAUCGUGGGGAGCAAACAGG
rnacentral:rRNA from 1 species